rnacentral:rRNA from 1 species
CCUACGGGAGGCAGCAGUGGGGAAUUUUGGACAAUGGGGGCAACCCUGAUCCAGCAAUGCCGCGUGAGUGAAGAAGGCCUUCGGGUUGUAAAGCUCUUUUGUCAGGGAAGAAACGGCAGUUUCUAAUACAAGCUGCUAAUGACGGUACCUGAAGAAUAAGCACCGGCUAACUACGUGCCAGCAGCCGCGGUAAUACGUAGGGUGCAAGCGUUAAUCGGAAUUACUGGGCGUAAAGCGUGCGCAGGCGGUUAUAUAAGUCAGAUGUGAAAUCCCCGGGCUCAACCUGGGAACUGCAUUUGAGACUGUAUGGCUAGAGUGUGUCAGAGGGGGGUAGAAUUCCACGUGUAGCAGUGAAAUGCGUAGAUAUGUGGAGGAAUACCGAUGGCGAAGGCAGCCCCCUGGGAUAACACUGACGCUCAUGCACGAAAGCGUGGGGAGCAAACAGGAUUAGAUACCCUGGUAGUCCACGCCCUAAACGAUGUCUACUAGUUGUCGGGUCUUAAUUGACUUGGUAACGCAGCUAACGCGUGAAGUAGACCGCCUGGGGGUAAGGUACGGUCGUUCGAGAGUUAAACGUUAAAGUUAGUUAGUUGACGGCGUUGAGACGUUGCCGACGGACGACGACGAGGGAGGAGG